UACGUAGGGUGCAAGCGUUAAUCGGAAUUACUGGGCGUAAAGCGUGCGCAGGCGGUAAUGUAAGACAAGGGUGAAAUCCCCGGGCUCAACCUGGGAACUGCCUUUGUGACUGCAUUGCUGGAGUACGGCAGAGGGGGAUAGAAUUCCGCGUGUAGCAGUGAAAUGCGUAGAUAUGCGGAGGAAUACCGAUGGCGAAGGCAAUCCCCUGGGCCUGUACUGACGCUCAUGCACGAAAGCGUGGGGAGCAAACAGG
rnacentral:rRNA from 1 species